UACGUAGGGUGCAAGCGUUGUCCGGAAUUAUUGGGCGUAAAGAGCUCGUAGGCGGUUUGUUGCGUCGGCUGUGAAUCCCGAGGCUCAACCUCGGUCUGCAGUCGAUACGAGCAAACUAGAGUGUUGCAAGGGGAGACUGGAAUUCCGUGGUGAUAGCGGUGAAAUGCGCAGAUAUCAGGAGGAACACCGGUGGCGAAGGCGGGU
rnacentral:rRNA from 1 species